GACGAACGCUGGCGGCGUGCCUAAUACAUGCAAGUAGAACGCACAGUUUAUACCGUAGCUUGCUACACCAUAGACUGUGAGUUGCGAACGGGUGAGUAACGCGUAGGUAACCUGCCCGGUAGCGGGGGAUAACUAUUGGAAACGAUAGCUAAUACCGCAUAAUAUUAAUUAUUGCAGGAUUAUUAAUUUAAAGUUGCAAUUGCACCACUACCAUAUGGACCUGCGUUGUAUUAGCUGGUAGGUGAGGUAACGGCUCACCUAGGCGAGGAUACAUAGCCGACCUGAGAGGGUGAUCGGCCACACUGGGACUGAGACACGGCCCAGACGCCUGCGGGAGGCAGCAGUAGGGAAUCUUGGGCAAUGGACGAAAGUCUGACCGAGCAACGCCGCGGGAGGGAAGAAGGGUGUCGGAUCGUAAAGCUCUGUUGUAAGAGAAGAACGGGUGUGAGAGUGGAAAGUUCACACUGUGACGGUAUCUAAACAGAAAGGGACGGCUAACUACGUG
rnacentral:rRNA from 1 species